AUGUUCCAAUCGAGCCUUCCAAGGGGCCUCGCCAAUGCUAAUAAUGAUUUUCUGCUGAACCAAUAUCCUCAGGUAAGCUCCAUCCCUAUAAAUGAAGCUCAGCAAGGAGAGGCAUUGCAGUGUCCGGAGCAGGCUUGGCUAGAAGAAGUCGUCAAAUUUUCAGAGUUUAAAGAACUUUUGAAAUCAUGCUCCAAAUAUGAUGAUCAGGAGAAUGACUUUCCAAGCGAGAUGAGAAUUAAUGAGUUACCAUCAUCCCCGUCUGUGAUGGCUGCCUACAAUUCGCAAGAUGAGAUUCUUGAUCCGGAGGUGCCACCACUUCUUGGAUCCUUUGCUGUUAAACUGACAGAGACUGAGCCACUGGAUUCUUACAUUGACCUGAAAGGGCACUUUGAAGACAUUGAGAACUGGGAAGCUUCAUAACAUUUACAAA
rnacentral:lncRNA from 1 species